UCCAAUUUGUGUGUAUCUGAUGGAAUGGU
rnacentral:piRNA from 1 species